rnacentral:rRNA from 1 species
UACAGAGGUCUCAAGCGUUGUUCGGAUUCAUUGGGCGUAAAGGGUGCGUAGGUGGCGCGAUAAGUCGGGUGUGAAAUCUCGGAGCUUAACUCCGAAAUUGCAUUCGAUACUGCCGUGCUCGAGGACUGGAGAGGAGACUGGAAUUCAUGGUGUAGCAGUGAAAUGCGUAGAGAUCAUGAGGAAGACCAGUGGCGAAGGCGGGUCACUGGACCGGCAUUGACGCUGAGGUGCGAAAGCGUGGGGAGCAAACAGG